UUUAUUUUUCUCCUUUCAGUGUAUAACGUCUCGAAACAAGUGCUUUGAUCAGCUGCUCAGGGGAUCACACGUCUGGAACAGGAGGGCACUUAGAAGCCUGUGCUCUUAGAGGCGCAUUGAUGUUGGAAUGAUAUGAAAAAUAAUUUCGUGGAGGGGUGCCAGGCUGGCUCGGUCUGUAAAGCAUGCGACUCUUGAUCUCCAGGUUAAAAAAAAAAUAAUUUUGUGGAAGGAACUUUCUUGUCUAAGCUCUGACCAUUUUCAUUACUGAAGAGGGAUGCCUACACAUAUACACACAUAAAUCUGUAUCGAUAGAUGGAUUUGACUUCUUGCCAGUGUGGCUUUUUACUUUCUCUCUUUCUCAUGUCUGUCACUUAGGAAGCGAUUAGCCCAGGGGAUACCCUACCUUCCACUAGCACUCCUUGUCCUGAAUGAAAGAAAGGAAGCAAAAAUCCUGAUGGAGAAAAAUAUGAUGAUGAAGACAGGUCUAAUGACAUCAGUGCUACUGAUCCAGUGAAAUUAGUUCGAAAUGAAAAGAACAACCAGAAAAACCACGACGAAACACGCAGGCAGUGCUCUGUGGGUAUCAUCAGUCUACCGGCCUUUGGAGGUUUGUU